AAUCAGAGAGGCGGGAGCGGCGGCUCAGACCCUGCCGACCUCCACCCCCCAGCUGACCACGGGGAGCUCUGCACACGCGAGAUGCUGGGGCUUCCCUGGCCCUGACUGGCUAGCCACAGGCAGGGCUGGCAGGAGAAGGCCACCGCCACCCUGCGUGUCCCAGGAGGGCACGGACAGUUGAGAGCACCCAUAGGAACGCCGCACAGUGAACGCAUGCAGGCCUCCAACCAUGGCCAGGGCCCUGCGGCGUGGCCCCGUGUCUACCUGUAAAGGUGUGGGGCAGACUUGAGGAGCUCUAACCCAGCGCCUGGGACUUCAACUUCAGCCUCGUACCUUGCUGCCAUUUGGGCCUUUCCUGCAGUCGUGUAACUGACAGUUAGACAGGUCACGGCUGGAGGCUCCCCUCGGAGCACAGGCAGCAGCUCUGCCGUGGGAGGAGCCGGCUCCGGCCCCAGAACCGGCCACUUGUAGAUGCUCGGGGCAGACAGUCAAGACUAGGGGAAGUUUGUGAGCUGGGUGACAUCUGGUUGGUCCCCUGAAAUCUGCCUCGGUGGGCAGUUACACCACAGCCAUGGGCAAAUGCUGCAAACCAGGACCCCCUCCCCAAGCUGGAUGCUCAAUGUUGUCAGCACCCUGCAUGGCAACCUCACUUCCUCCCACCCCACCCCAGAGUGGAAAGGGCUUCAAACUACACACAACACAGCUCACCCACCAAGCAUGCCAGCACGAGAGAACAUGCCUCAUCUCCAGGGGCGCCCACCUGUGCCAGCGUCUCAUCCAGGGAAGCCCCUCACACCCACCCUCUUCUAUGCCCUCCUGAGGUACUGGGACCCACCACCUGGCAAGGACCACGCCGGGCAGGAGGAGACCAGGAGGCGACAGUCAGACAGAGAAGCUGAAGAAACCAGAAGGCGUCUGUGCAAGAGAGCCCCACACAGACACUGGAAAGAACCAGGGCAACCUGCAGACCAACUCGAAAGACCUCCCCUAGGGCGACGGAAAUGAGAUGAGGCAAACAGCUUCCCGACCAGAGCCCAUGCACCUUCCACGUCUGUGCAGGGAGCUCGGGGCCACAUCCCGAGAUGGGAAAGACAACUGAGGCUUCCACAAAGAAAUUACAAUGAAACAGACACUGGCCAGGCCAGCUGAAAAUCAGUGACGGACUACGGUCCAAAUCGACGUGGAGGUUCCAACAAGAGAAGGACGGUGGUGGGGUCACCCUACCCCAGCCUGCGAGUGCCCCAGAGGGUGCACAAGCAGGACAGCCACCCUGUUGCAGAGUGUGGUGCUUUCACACCAUGUUCACCCCACCUCAGCCCUCUGGCCCAGACGUCGGUGGCUCCUCUGCCAGGUGAGGUGAGGUGAGGUGAGGUGAGGUGGGAGCAGACAGUGGAGAAACACCACAAACAGCACAGGUGGUCGGCCAGGGCCACGAGCCCUUCAGCUCACCGAUGCCGAGACCCCGCAAUCCCCACAACAAACCUGCAAGGUCAGAAUAAUUGCGCACAUGUACAGACGACUAAGCUGAGGCCCCUUCCUCCUCCACCUCCGGAAUGCCACCUGAGCGCAGAGGCUUUGGGACACAAAGCACUCAGCAGUCGGCAGUGGAGGCACAGCCUAGGAUCAAGACCCUGGGCUUCCUGUCCCAGGCUCCUCAACCUGCAGGCGGCCACACAGCAAGAGGACCCUGGGAAGUUAAAGAACGAGGCGCUCCUGCUUCCCCCACUCUCAACGGCCAGCAAGGACACAAAGGCAGCCCAGGGCAGGGCCAGCCGCCAGCCACAAGGCCCCUCCAGAACCCAAGGUCCAGUGGAGACUCCGAAAGGGCUGAUUGCAGGGCCCCCACGGGGUCCACACACCAGACACAGAGGCCACGCAGAAAGGCGCUGACCUCGCUGUGAAGAGAUGGUUUGUGCUGAGAGCUUAGCAAGGCCGUCGUCUACCGAGUGCUUCCCACCACAGCCCAUGCGCAGGCAUGAGAGUCAUGCCUCCCGCAGGCCACAGCUUCACUCAUGCAAGGACAUUCUGGGGGCCGGGACGUCCUAGCCAGUGGCUAGAACUGGGUGUGACCAUGGGCCCCCUUGGCUGGGGAGAAAAGGAGGUGCCCCUAGAUCCCAAGUCCCCUGGGGCCGCAGCAAAGGGAGGAGGACCUUGCAUCACUCCAGGGUGCCACGUGGACGAACAGAGGUAACAUUGGGAGUGUGGCUGGCAGUGUUGGACAUUCAGAACACGUCUGCCCAAAACAAACAUGGCCUUCACUUCUCCCAGCUCCCAGAAACAAAGUAAACAGAAGGAUCACGUCUGGACACCAGGGACCAGCCCGUUACAUCCCUGUCCCCCCCAGGCCAGAGCCUGACCACUCUGUGUCACCUGCCUCUACUCCUGUAGUGACUGUCAACUUUUUGGAUUUCAGAAAGCCAAACCAGCAAGGGAAGCCUUUUCCCGGGGGGUAGAGGUGUCUCUCCUACACACACCCCUACCCCAGGGUCUGAGAUGACAUCCCAAAUCAAACCCGGUAUUCUGCAGAGAUACACAAAGGUUCAAACUACAGACAGCCUUGUAUCAGCUGUAAAGGGGGGCCAGAUUUUGCUGCAAAAGAAAAAACCCAGUAUCCCCUCGCUCAGCCCACUGUGUCACCAAGAGGGAGGGUGGGCGGCUGGCCGAAGAGGGCUCCAUUUUAUAGUCCAGGAAGGGGUGGCCUGGGCCCCACAGCUGGUGGGGCAGUGGCACUGGAUCUGGAGCAAAGCUGGGCACUGGAGGCUGUGCCUUGGGCCGGUGUGCUGGCAGCGCCUGCUGGAGGAGCCAAGGGGCACUGAAUCAACACUGACUGUAUUUCCGGAACCAGAGUUAGUACUGGGGGUACGGUGGCGUUGUGGUUACAAUCUUUCAAAAGUCCUCGUCUUUCAGAGAUUUGGACUGAAAGUUCUAUGAAUGAAAUGUGUCUGGAA